rnacentral:rRNA from 1 species
GACGAACCGAGCGAACGUUGUUCGGAAUCACUGGGCUUAAAGGGCGCGUAGGCGGGCUGCCAAGUCCGUGGUGAAAUCCCCCGGCUCAACCGGGGAAGGGCCUCGGAUACUGGCGGCCUCGAGGGGGGUAGGGGCGUGCGGAACUGUGGGUGGAGCGGUGAAAUGCGUUGAUAUUGGAAGGAACGCCGGAGGCGAAAGCGGCGCACUGGAUUUCUUCUGACGCUGAGGCGCGAAAGCUAGGGGAGCAAACGGG